CACAAACCAUGCCAAGUUAGACUAGGAUUAGCACUCCCAGGACAAUUGGAAGACCACCCCUUAAGUUGACCUUAAAAUCACGCAAAAGAACUUGAAAUUAAUUUUUAUUCCUGCCAAUAAGACCAACUGGUGGACCAACUCUGGAAAAUGGAUGCAUGACAGGGUAUGGCAUCCAUGACCAGAAAAAACACAUCACUCUUCUCUUUUUGAUAUUUCACAACCUGCUCUGCGCCUAUGGACUGACAAGGAUACAUGGAAGACAAAGAUGUGCAGAUAACAACAUGACAGGUGACAAGAUACACCAAACCCCAAUUUAAUAGACUCUUGGCUGCUAAUCCAAUUCUUCCUUCCAGUGCCACAAAUUCAGCUUUUUAAGAAACUUUCAGAGGAAAUGAAGGAGUUCAGAGCAUGUCACCCCAAAAUAUGCUGUUUUAGCAUAUUGAUUAUUCUCAGUUAAAGGAGCUUGAGAAACAGCAGGUACAAGAGGGGCACUCUGACCUUCCUUAUUCUUCCUGGCAGGAGAUAAAACUCCCAUGUCAAAGAUCCCCUCCCUCUACCAGGAGGAAGAAAAUCAUUCCCCUCACCAGAGAUGGGGAAUCACGCUGAGAAAUCUGUACAAACAAGACUUGUUACACUAAUGCUUAUCCUCCUAGUCAUUUCUCCACAGUUUAC